rnacentral:misc_RNA from 1 species
AGACCAGAAGUUCUUAAAGCCUGGUCCCUGGACCAGCAACAUCAGUACCUCCUGGGAGCUUGUUAGAAAAGCAGAUUUUCUGUGCUCACCCCUACCCACUGAAUCAGAAAUGAGGGUGAGGUGUGGUGGCUGUUUCACAGCCCUCCCGGGAUUCUGAUCCAUGCUAAAGAGUGGGAAGCACUGCUCCGGAUCUGCAGAGAAAUCCUGCUUUCAAAGAACUCACUAACGCCCCUACAAAACUACAAUUUUUAUGACUAGAAGCUCUGUGAAUACCUUAAACAAGGAAGCUGACAGAUUUAGUAAGAUCGCGUAGGUCAUGAUCGCAAAUGGGCUGCCCAAGGGCACGUCUUUCCCUUGGGUUUGUGCAUUUGUCCUGCACACAAUUAAAAACAUUUAACUAGUUGCCAGUAUUAAAGAAAUAGAAACUUCCA